rnacentral:tRNA from 1 species
GGGGCGGUGGUGGAAUGGCAGACACAGCGGACUUAAAAUCCGUUGCGGCGAAAGCCGCGUGGGGGUUCGAGUCCCCCCCGCCCUACCC